GGGAAGAGCUCAGAUUUGAAAUCUGGCGUCCUCAGGGCGUCCGAGUUGUAAUCUAUAGAGGCGUUUUCCGUGCCGGACCGUGUCCAAGUUCCUUGGAACAGGAUAUCAAAGAGGGUGACAAUCCCGUACUUGACACGAUGACCGGUGCUCUGUGAUACGUCUUCUACGAGUCGAGUUGUUUGGGAAUGCAGCUCAAAAUGGGUGGUGAGUUCCAUCUAAAGCUAAAUAUUGGCGAGAGACCGAUAGCGAACAAGUACCGUGAGGGAAAGAUGAAAAGCACUUUGGAAAGAGAGUUAAACAGUACGUGAAAUUGUUGAAAGGGAAACGAUUGAAGUCAGUCGUGACUGAGAGGCUCAGCCGGUUCUGCCGGUGUAUUCCCCUCAGUCGGGUCAACAUCAGUUUUGUCCGGUGGAAAAGGGCGGUAGGAACGUGGCACCUCCGGGUGUGUUAUAGCCUGCCGUCGCAUACAUCGGGUGAGACUGAGGAAUGCAGCUCGCCUUUAUGGCCGGGGUUCGCCCACGUCCGAGCUUAGGAUGUUGACAUAAUGGCUUUAAACGACCCGUCUUGAAACACGGACCAA
rnacentral:rRNA from 1 species